rfam:Clostridium tepidiprofundi DSM 19306 CLTE_contig000081, whole genome shotgun sequence.
AAGAACUAAUAGUUUGAAAAGUCAAAUGAGAGGGUAACGCCUUGAAGGGUUUUCUCUAAUACUCCGAAUGGCGAAAUUUUUAUUAAGAAGGAUAACGUCAUAAGCUCGGUGAAGUCGGCUGAGAUUACACCCUAACGUGUAAUGAUGAGGAAAAGCGAACCAGAGGUGGUCGAGUGUAAGAUAGGUCGGGAGUCUAUAAA